GAAGUUGCCAAAGUACAGAUUCUAUAUUUACAGACUUCACCUCUUAGGUCCGAGAACACAAUUAAUUCGUAGUGCAUUUCUUUUAGAACAUAAAUGAAAAUUAAAAAAAUCCCACCUGCGCUUUCUCAAUGAAAUUUUUACAGUGUGUUGUACUACUUUUGGGACAAGUUAUAUCAAAAUUAUAGAAAACUUCAUCGCCUCUAACUCAAAAUAUGGACAAUUUUGUGUUUAGGGUGUCUUGAAAUCUUUUGACAGCUUCCGAAGUGCUAAUUUUUAACCUUUUUCAGCUGGACCAAAUCACUACUUUCCUGUAAAAUUCUGGACCCAAAUUUUUUUACAGUGUAAUUUCACCCCACUACUUACAAUUUGAGGCAUUAAACAUGGAGAAAUAAAUUUGGAAGGGGUUUAAAAAUUAUUGGCAAGUAACCCACUG
rnacentral:lncRNA from 1 species